GAUCAAUGAUUAAAGUAACCAAAUUUGAACAUCAGAAGACCUUCCAGUCUACUUGUUGCAUGAGCUGUACAGUUUUGAGA